rnacentral:lncRNA from 1 species
CUACUCAUCAAAUCCACAUGCAAACAUCCUUUAAUUUGUCCUUUCCCUCCCCUACAUUUUCUCUCCUCUUCAUCUUUCCCUCUCUUUAUUAAUUGUUAUAUGGUGUGUGUGUUAAUGAGUUGAUGAUGAUGGGAUGAUGACGAACAUAGAGAGAGAGAAAGAGAAAGUAUAUAUAUAUAUAUAUAUAUAUAAUUGAGCUCAUGUGCUUUUAAAAGUACCAAGUUAUUAGUGCUGGUAGAUUUUGAACCAUUGGAUUAAGAGAUAUGCGGUUAUGAUGAUGUGGGCCCCUAGGGUUGAGUGGGUGGUUGGUUGAAUAGUAUAAUCUAAUGGUUGAAAAUGAUCCGAGAAGUAGAUCUAAUGGUAAAAAACUUACAAGCACCAAGUGCUUGGUGCUUUUACAAGCACCAUAGCUGGACUAUAUAUAUAUAUAUAAUGUAGAGCUACGUAUGCUAUCAGAAAUAUAGAGAAUUUGAUGGUUCCAAUUUUUUGACCUUUGGAUUAAAAUUGUAUGAUUGGGAUGAUUGCUGUCCCCCUAGGAUUGAAUAGUACCUCUAAAAUUGAAUGGUCCCCACAGGAUAAUAAUAUUAAUCCAAAAGUUAAAAAUAAUUAAAGAAACUGAUCUAAAGACCAAAAAAUUGGAAGCACCAGAUAUUCUAUGCUUCCGAUAGUAUAAUAGCUUUACUCUCUCUCUCUAUAUAUAUAUAAUAUA